AUUGAACGCUGGCGGCAGGCCUAACACAUGCAAGUCGAGCGAGUGGCGGACGGGUGAGUAAUGUAUGGGGAUCUGCUCGAUAGAGGGGGAUAACUACUGGAAACGGAGGCUAAUACCGCAUACUAUCGGAUGAACCUAGGUGGGAUUAGCUAGUUGGUGGGGUAAAGGCUCACCAAGGCGACGAUCCGUAGCUGGUCUGAGAGGAUGAUCAGGCACACUGGAACUGAGACACGGCCCAGACUCCUACGGGAGGCAGCAGUGGGGAAUAUUGGACAAUGGGCGAAAGCCUGAUCCAGCCAGGCCGCGUGUGUGAAGAAGGGCUUAGGAUUGUAAAGUACUUUCAGUUGGGAGGCGUUACCAACAGAAGAAGCACCGGCUAACUCCGUGCCAGCAGCCGCGGUAAUUC
rnacentral:rRNA from 1 species